rnacentral:tRNA from 1 species
GACACUUUGGCCGAGUGGUUAAGGCGUGUGACUUGAAAUCACAUACGUUCGCGUUCGCAGGUUCGAAUCCUGCAGGUGUCG